rnacentral:lncRNA from 1 species
UUGAAUUUGUUGAAACCACUAAACAACUAGCGAAUAUUUUCACCAAGCCCAUUCCACAGGAUACAUUAUUUGUUCUUAGAAGAGAACUUGGAAUUCUUGAUGAACAAUAUCUCAUUUAGUUUGGUUGAUGGUAUUGUGUGCCUUUGCAUGAUAAAUAUGCUUAUCUAUGUAAUAUAUGUUGAAUGCAUGAUUCCUUUGUACUUAUAAAUUGUAGUCAUGAUUAUGUGUUUAUGUGCUAGAAGUGUUUAACUUUGUCUAGAAUAAAUUCUUAGGUUAAAUGUCUUAGCAUGCCAUGCCAUUCUAAAAAAUGUACUCAAAUAUGUGAUUUUGCUGAUAAUAAUCGAUUAACCUAUGUCAUAAUCGAUUAACCUAUGUCAUAAUCGAUGAAGA